rnacentral:rRNA from 1 species
CACGUAGGGGCCAAGCGUUGUCCGGAUUUAUUGGGCGUAAAGAGCUCGUAGGCGGUUCGACAAGUCGGGCGUGAAAACUCCGGGCUCAACCCGGAGACGCCACCCGAUACUGUCGUGACUGGAGUCCGGUAGGGGAGUGGGGAAUUCCUGGUGUAGCGGUGAAAUGCGCAGAUAUCAGGAGGAACACCGGUGGCGAAGGCGGUUCUCUGGGCCUUACCUGACGCUGAGGAGCGAAAGCGUGGGGAGCAAACAGG